rnacentral:rRNA from 1 species
UACAGAGGGUGCGAGCGUUGUUCGGAAUUAUUGGGCGUAAAGCGCUUGUAGGCGGCCUGUCAAGUCGCGUGUGAAAUCCCCUGGCUUAACCAGGGAAGUGCGCGCGAAACUGGCGGGCUUGAGUGCCGGAGAGGGUCGCGGAAUUCCCGGUGUAGAGGUGAAAUUCGUAGAUAUCGGGGAGGAACACCAGUGGCGAAGGCGGCGACCUGGACGGACACUGACGCUGAGGAGCCGAAAGCGUGGGGAGCGA